rnacentral:tRNA from 1 species
UCCCUGGUGGCUCAGAUGGUAAAGAACCUGCCUGCAAUGCAGGAGACCCAGGUUCGAUCUCUGGCUCAGGAA